AACGCUAGCUACAGGCUUAACACAUGCAAGUCGAGGGGCAUCGGGGAGUAGCAAUACUCUGCCGGCGACCGGCGCACGGGUGAGUAACGCGUAUGCAACUUACCUAUCAGAGGAGAAUAGCUCAUCGAAAGAUGAAUUAAUGCUCCAUAAAACAGGGGUCCCGCAUGGGAAUAUUUGUUAAAGAUUCAUCGCUGAUAGAUAGGCAUGCGUUCCAUUAGGCAGUUGGCGGGGUAACGGCCCACCAAACCGACGAUGGAUAGGGGUUCUGAGAGGAAGGUCCCCCACAUUGGUACUGAGACACGGACCAAACUCCUACGGGAGGCAGCAGUGAGGAAUAUUGGUCAAUGGCCGAGAGGCUGAACCAGCCAAGUCGCGUGAAGGAUGAAGGAUCUAUGGUUCGUAAACUUCUUUUAUACGGGAAUAAAGUGAGUCACGCGUGGCUUUUUGUAUGUACCGUAUGAAUAAGCAUCGGCUAACUCCGUGCCAGCAGCCGCGGUAAUACGGAGGAUGCGAGCGUUAUCCGGAUUUAUUGGGUUUAAAGGGUGCGUAGGUGGUUUCUUAAGUCAGCGGUGAAAGUUUGUGGCUUAACCAUAAAAUUGCCAUUGAUACUGGGAGACUUGAGUAUGUUUGAGGUAGGCGGAAUGCGUGGUGUAGCGGUGAAAUGCAUAGAUAUCACGAAGAACUCCGAUUG
rnacentral:rRNA from 1 species